rnacentral:tmRNA from 1 species
GGGGGUGAACGGUCUCGACUUCGAUUGUUGAGCCAGGGGAAGCGGGCCGAGGAAGCCGGGAUGAUCUCGUUAACCACAAAAACCCGCGCAAUCAAUUAGACGCAGAUAAAACUUCGUCUGAUUCCGUAGAAGCCCUGUAUCAGUGUCGAAGGACCCGGGUUCGAUUCCCGGCACCUCCACCA